GGAAGGUGUUGCUCGAGGCCGGACUCGAGGAGGCUAGACGGGUGAGCAAAGGCCGCUAGAGCCCAGGGUUCCAAGAGGUCUGGGGCGGCGGCAGGCCCCUUGCAGUUACCCUGGUGUUGAGGAGGGUCGGUCGCUGCCUCGCCCAGCCUGCUGCUGAACCCGCUGAUGCCCAGGCCACCCGCCUGCAUCUUGAUCGCCGACUUGAGCUCGUGAUUCUCCCGAAGGAGCCGCACCAGCUUCUUCAGUUCCUCAUUUUCCUGCACCAGCCUCUCGAUCUGAUGGCGAAGCCCCUCGUAAUUGGUGAGACUGUGCGACUCGCCAGCAUCCAGCAAAGGGCCGAGUGCCGUGCAGGUAGGUAACCAGUGAACAUCUGCUGAAUGAAGACUCAUCACCUGCCUUCCUGGAGAGGGUGCCCUUCCCUUGGGAUCUUGGGCGCACCUGGAUUUAGCUGUCAGCCUUCUCCUGGGGACUAACAUCUUGGACAGCGGGACACUGGGCUAUGCUUUCUUCUGAUGCCAGGUGCUGAGAGCCUUUCCCUGGCUGCUGGCCCAGGGGCUCCCUCGUCUAAGCAGUCGGCUCCCUAUAGCUUGGAGUUUCCAUUUCUGAUGACUCAGGUUCCCCUAUUCCAAAUUCCCCAGCGGUGCCCCCUCUGUGCCCACUAUUCUCUGGCUUCUUGAAUUUUCCUGACUAUAGUCCUUCAAGAACCCAAGACUGCAUUCCCCAGCAGGUUCCAAGAACUCACAUCUCUGAGUCCUUAUCGCACUCCCCCCUUUUAGAGCCGUCUACACAGAGAAAUUUGCAGGCCUGACCUUGGGAGUUGAGUGAGGCCACGUCCUUGUGACCUCCACUGGCUCUGCGGGCAUCUGCUCUUGAACAGGAGAGGGUGGUGACGUCCUGGUAUAAGACAGAGGGCACACUCUUGGCAGGAGGGUGGGGGUGAGGAUGGAGUCGAAGAUCAGCCAGGGCUGGGGCCAGUCUGAGUGGAGCGUUCUACCUGGACCUCACAAUGGGGGGCCUGCCCUCACCUUCCUCUGACGCCCCAGACUGUAAUCCUGGCUGAAUCACUCUGGCCCUGGGGACCAGGGCUGAGAUUUCUUCAGUGGAAGAGAUCCCCUCUGCACACCCUCAGCUCUUCACAGAAUGUCUCUGCUGGGUUUUCCUCCAGCAUGUGAAAAUAAGCCUGUCACGGCUCUCUCAAUCGUCUUACCGCGCUGUUGGCCUCUCCUUGGGUUGCUGCCCUCCUUGCCAUCUGUGAUGGUUACAUUUUCUGUGUCAGCUUGGCUGGGCUAUGGUGCUGCCCAGGUAUUUGGUCAAACACUAGCCUAGUCAUUGCUCUGAAGGUUGACUUUAAGUAAAGCAGAUUAUUCUCAGUCACGUGGGUGGUCUUUAUACAAUCAUUUGAAAGCCUUAAGAAUAGAAAACUGACGUUUUCCGGGGAAGAAGGAAUUGUGCCUCAACGCUGUCCUAGAAAUUCUGCCUGAGUUUCUGGUCUCCUGGUCUGCUCCACAGACUUCGGACGUGCUAUUUCCCACGAUUGUGUG